UAAAUUAAAAUUCUCAUAUUUUAAAAUGAGUAAUUGACUUGCAGAUUUACAUCUAUUUGGGACUCGCAGUGAUGUGCGCCUUUAUUUUGUAUGACACUCAAGUGGUGGUUGAGAAAUUUCGCAGAGGUGAAGAGGACUUCAUUUGGCAUUCCGUGUUGUUCUUCAUAGAUUUCGUAGAUGUGUUCCGUUUCCUGGUAGUAAUCUUGAUGGAUAAGGAGCAGAGCAGCAGGAGAAAGAAGGAUUAGAAGCAGUUGCAAUAACUUUCCAAAAUUUUUAAUUUGCUCAUCUACUAUUGGUGACAAAAUUGAUACAUUGGUAUUUGAUGUUCUUGAUAGAUGUAAUUUUGUUAAUUGAAAAGUUCUGUUUUUUGGGAUUUAAGAUAAAAAGUAAAAUUUGUCUCUACCAAUUUGUAUUUUAUCAGAAUAGAAUUAACCAAUAAACUUUUGACUUUGGA